CCUUCGAGUGAGUAGAUAUCCAGCAUUCCUUCCUGCCUGAUCACGUUUUUGGACCAAGUUUCUGACUCACAGAUUUACCCUUCUUGCCUUGCCCAAUUGGAGAGCCCUGCUUCUGGAUUUCGACCCUGUUUUUGGCCUCUCGACUCAUGCCUCGCCCCUGAAACUGCCUGUCAGUGUCUGCUGGAUACUUUUCCCUUGCCUUGCCUACCCAUCCCUGCCUAGUAUUCUGACAAGUUACCUGCCUCCCUGGUUCUCGCCUUCUUCAGUUCUCUGACCAUUGAGCUCUGCAUAAUCCCUCUGUCGGCAAUCUGACAUCUGUUUACGGUGCGCUCUGCACUGUCAUCCCAGUCUGGAGACUGCCAGGUCUUUACCCUGCAAAGGAAUCGAUUCCUGGUCCCCAGCUCAACACGGACUCUGAGAAGGUGCCGCCGGUACCGCAGAGCCAGGAGCAGGACAGGUGUUUCUCAUCCCGUCAUCAGCUGGAGACCUUUAAGAGAGCGGAUUGCCAGCACUUCUACGCCUGAGUGUUUUGUCUACUUGGUACUGGAACCAAGCCACGGACCUUCAGGAGGACCUAGAACAAACUCUUGCCAUAAUCCAUUUCCGGACUCUAAAUCAGUCGGCAGUCCGCUCUCGCACUUUAGGCUCUAAGUGAGACCCUGUCCUUCCUCUAACUGUGAUCUAAGGAAUCGGCAAGCAGAGCCGGAUCCUGAGCCAUUCCACAAUCUUCCGGACUCGCCUUUUCUCUCUACCUGGAAGUUCUAAACAAUCUAAAAUGCCUGUUCCCGGUGCGAGCCACUCGGGUCUUCCUCCUCCAUUAAAUAACCCUCACCAAAA